GGUGGAUGCCCUGGCAGUCAGAGGCGAUGAAGGGCGUGCUAAUCUGCGAUAAGCGCCGGUAAGGUGAUAUGAACCGUUAUAACCGGCGAUACCCGAAUGGGGAAACCCAGUGUGACUCGUCACACUAUCAUUAACUGAAUCCAUAGGUUAAUGAGGCGAACCGGGGGAACUGAAACAUCUAAGUACCCCGAGGAAAAGAAAUCAACCGAGAUUCCCCCAGUAGCGGCGAGCGAACGGGGAGGAGCCCAGAGCCUGAAUCAGCAUGUGUGUUAGUGGAAGCGUCUGGAAAGGCGCGCGAUACAGGGUGACAGCCCCGUACACAAAAGCGCAUGUGCUGUGAGCUCGAUGAGUAGGGCGGGACACGUGGUAUCCUGUCUGAAUAUGGGGGGACCAUCCUCCAAGGCUAAAUACUCCUGACUGACCGAUAGUGAACCAGUACCGUGAGGGAAAGGCGAAAAGAACCCCGGCGAGGGGAGUGAAAAAGAACCUGAAACCGUGUACGUACAAGCAGUGGGAGCACCCUUUGGGUGUGACUGCGUACCUUUUGUAUAAUGGGUCAGCGACUUAUAUUCUGUAGCAAGGUUAACCGAAUAGGGGAGCCGGAGGGAAACCGAGUCUUAAUUGGGCGUUAAGUUGCAGGGUAUAGACCCGAAACCCGGUGAUCUAGCCAUGGGCAGGUUGAAGGUUGGGUAACACUAACUGGAGGACCGAACCGACUAAUGUUGAAAAAUUAGCGGAUGACCUGUGGCUGGGGGUGAAAGGCCAAUCAAACCGGGAGAUAGCUGGUUCUCCCCGAAAGCUAUUUAGGUAGCGCCUCGUGAAUUCAUCUCCGGGGGUAGAGCACUGUUUCGGCUAGGGGGCCAUCCCGGCUUACCAACCCGAUGCAAACUGCGAAUACCGGAGAAUGUUAUCACGGGAGACACACGGCGGGUGCUAACGUCCGUCGUGAAGAGGGAAACAACCCAGACCGCCAGCUAAGGUCCCAAAGUCAUGGUUAAGUGGGAAACGAUGUGGGAAGGCCCAGACAGCCAGGAUGUUGGCUUAGAAGCAGCCAUCAUUUAAAGAAAGCGUAAUAGCUCACUGGUCGAGUCGGCCUGCGCGGAAGAUGUAACGGGGCUAAACCAUGCACCGAAGCUGCGGCAGCGACGCUUAUGCGUUGUUGGGUAGGGGAGCGUUCUGUAAGCCUGCGAAGGUGGCCUGUGAGGGUUGCUGGAGGUAUCAGAAGUGCGAAUGCUGACAUAAGUAACGAUAAAGCGGGUGAAAAGCCCGCUCGCCGGAAGACCAAGGGUUCCUGUCCAACGUUAAUCGGGGCAGGGUGAGUCGACCCCUAAGGCGAGGCCGAAAGGCGUAGUCGAUGGGAAACGGGUUAAUAUUCCCGUACUUGGUGUUACUGCGAAGGGGGGACGGAGAAGGCUAUGUUGGCCGGGCGACGGUUGUCCCGGUUUAAGCGUGUAGGCUGGUUUUCCAGGCAAAUCCGGAAAAUCAAGGCUGAGGCGUGAUGACGAGGCACUACGGUGCUGAAGCAACAAAUGCCCUGCUUCCAGGAAAAGCCUCUAAGCAUCAGGUAACAUCAAAUCGUACCCCAAACCGACACAGGUGGUCAGGUAGAGAAUACCAAGGCGCUUGAGAGAACUCGGGUGAAGGAACUAGGCAAAAUGGUGCCGUAACUUCGGGAGAAGGCACGCUGACACGUAGGUGAAGUGAUUUACUCACGGAGCUGAAGUCAGUCGAAGAUACCAGCUGGCUGCAACUGUUUAUUAAAAACACAGCACUGUGCAAACACGAAAGUGGACGUAUACGGUGUGACGCCUGCCCGGUGCCGGAAGGUUAAUUGAUGGGGUCAGCGCAAGCGAAGCUCCUGAUCGAAGCCCCGGUAAACGGCGGCCGUAACUAUAACGGUCCUAAGGUAGCGAAAUUCCUUGUCGGGUAAGUUCCGACCUGCACGAAUGGCGUAAUGAUGGCCAGGCUGUCUCCACCCGAGACUCAGUGAAAUUGAACUCGCUGUGAAGAUGCAGUGUACCCGCGGCAAGACGGAAAGACCCCGUGAACCUUUACUAUAGCUUGACACUGAACAUUGAGCCUUGAUGUGUAGGAUAGGUGGGAGGCUUUGAAGUGUGGACGCCAGUCUGCAUGGAGCCGACCUUGAAAUACCACCCUUUAAUGUUUGAUGUUCUAACGUGGACCCGUUACCCGGGUUGCGGACAGUGUCUGGUGGGUAGUUUGACUGGGGCGGUCUCCUCCUAAAGAGUAACGGAGGAGCACGAAGGUUGGCUAAUCCUGGUCGGACAUCAGGAGGUUAGUGCAAUGGCAUAAGCCAGCUUGACUGCGAGCGUGACGGCGCGAGCAGGUGCGAAAGCAGGUCAUAGUGAUCCGGUGGUUCUGAAUGGAAGGGCCAUCGCUCAACGGAUAAAAGGUACUCCGGGGAUAACAGGCUGAUACCGCCCAAGAGUUCAUAUCGACGGCGGUGUUUGGCACCUCGAUGUCGGCUCAUCACAUCCUGGGGCUGAAGUAGGUCCCAAGGGUAUGGCUGUUCGCCAUUUAAAGUGGUACGCGAGCUGGGUUUAGAACGUCGUGAGACAGUUCGGUCCCUAUCUGCCGUGGGCGCUGGAGAACUGAGGGGGGCUGCUCCUAGUACGAGAGGACCGGAGUGGACGCAUCACUGGUGUUCGGGUUGUCAUGCCAAUGGCACUGCCCGGUAGCUAAAUGCGGAAGAGAUAAGUGCUGAAAGCAUCUAAGCACGAAACUUGCCCCGAG
rnacentral:rRNA from 1 species